rnacentral:rRNA from 1 species
GGAGGACCGAACCCACUGUCGUUGAAAAGCCAGGGGAUGACUUGUGGAUAGGGGUGAAAGGCUAAUCAAACUCGGUGAUAGCUGGUUCUCCCCGAAAGCUAUUUAGGUAGCGCCUCGGACGAAUACCAUUGGGGGUAGAGCACUGUUUCGGCUAGGGGGUCAUCCCGACUUACCAAACCGAUGCAAACUCCGAAUACCAAUGAGUACUAUCCGGGAGACAGACUGCGGGUGCUAACGUCCGUAGUCAAGAGGAAAACAAUCCAGACCGCCAGCUAAGGCCCCAAAAUUAUAGUUAAGUGGGAAACGAUGUGGGAAGGCAUAGACAGCUAGGAGGUUGGCUUAGAAGCAGCCACCCUUUAAAGAAAGCGUAAUAGCUCACUAGUCGAGUCGGCCUGCGCGGAAGAUGUAACGGGGCUAAAACUAUAUGCCGAAGCUGCGGAUUUGCAAUUUAUUGCAAGUGGUAGGGGAGCGUUCUGUAAGCCGAUGAAGGUGUAUUGAGAAGUAUGCUGGAGGUAUCAGAAGUGCGAAUGCUGACGUGAGUAACGACAAUGCGAGUGAAAAACUCGCACGCUGAAAGACCAAGGGUUCCAGUCCAACGUUAAUCGGGGCUGGGUGAGUCGACCCCUAAGGCGAGGCCG